rnacentral:misc_RNA from 1 species
UAUUUAUUUAUAUAAAUGCUCUCUUCUCGUUUAUCUGCAUUCUGUGUUAUACCUGAAUUUAUCUGUGUUUGUUGGCAGAUUAUCUAAUUUAUUUAGUGUUUGAAGUGUAACCACUUUUCAUGUUAGGCUAUUUUACCACAAAAUGAUGUAUUUACAAUACUUUCUAGAGGAAAAGAAUUAAAUCAUUAUUCAUGGUUUUUUUAAUGAAUUUUAUUACUUAAAAUUAGGGAGAAUUAAAGAUGAACUGUCAUAAGCUCUCAUGUAGAAUGAAAACUAUCUUGAGCUAUGAGUUAGGAAGCAAAUUAUCUUCAGGUCUUUCAGUGUGCAUCCUGAGCUUAUCACACACACACACACACACAUUUUGCAAAUUUGUAUGGUUGGAUUGAGACCAAGGAUUUCAUCUUGUAUGGAUGGAUGCAAACCUAGACAAAGUCACAUAGGCAGUCAUUACAUUUGGGUUUCCAAAACAGAAUUUCCACGUUCUACAUUGGCAUUAAGACAGGUAAUCCAAAUCAUCCAGGGGCAAUCGAGAGGAAAUUGCCACCUUCCUUGAUAACCCAAUCACAUGACACUAAGGAAUUUAGAAAAUGAAAAUUCCAAGAAAAAAAGGGAAUGCAACAAAAUUAUCUUGAUUCUUGAGUGAAGCAUUCGUACUCAGGAAAGCCCGAUGCAUAAAUCCUGUUCCACGAGUGUCACUGCUGAACACACUCCUAUAACCAACCAGACCCCUGUGGUUUACAAUAAAAUGGAUAACUAUUAGUGAAAGGAUACUUGAAAAACACUGGGAGGAACAAUUUUAGUAUAGAAUUAAUAUAAUAGAUAUAACUUUCAACAAGAAUAAUGUACUUGAGCAAUUCCUGCUUCCAAUCUGAGGCACCCUAAACAAUAUGCAUAUGCAAGAAAAUAUAACUUAUGCCAUAGUUGCAAGAUGAACCUAACAUAAUAGAAAUACACUAGUUUAACGGAAGAGGACAACACGAUACUCAAUGAGUAAGAUAUACAGCUUCAACUUGGCACCUGAUAAAUUUUACAACAAGAUUAUAUCUAAUCAAGAUGACAUGGAUCACAAUGAAAUGCUCAGGCAAAAGGAAAUAGUCUCGAGGUAUGUGAAUAAU